AUGAAGCGGGGGAAGGGGGGGAGGAAUGGGCUGCUGCCGAGCUCGCUGCGGAUCAUAUCGUCCUGCCUCAAGACGGUCUCGUCCAACGUCGGCUCCGUCGCCUCCACGGUGCGCUCCGCCGGGGCCUCCGUCGCCGCCUCCAUCGCCCCCCAGGCCGAGGACGAGAAGGACCAGGUUUUGUGGGCUGGAUUUGACAAAUUAGAGCUUCAUCCAUCAUCUUUCAAGCAUGUUCUGCUCGUUGGUUAUUCUAACGGGUUUCAAGUGCUUGAUGUUGAGGAUGCUGCAAAUGUUUGCGAAUUGGUCUCAAAACGCGAUGGUCCAGUUACCUUUUUACAAAUGCAACCCAUACCUCUUUACUCUGAAGAAACUGAAGGAUUUAGGGCAUCACAUCCUAUGCUUCUGGUUGUUGCUGGGGAUGAGACAAAUGGCUUGGGUAUGGUUCAGGGUGGGCGUUUAAGUGCACUGAUCAGGGAUACAAGCACUGAACCUCAAACUGGAAACUGCAUCUCUACCCCAACAGUUGUUCGCUUCUAUUCUUUGAAGUCUCACACCUACGUACAUGUUCUCAGAUUCCGAUCUGCUGUAUAUAUAGUUCGUUGCAGCCCCCGGGUUGUGGCCGUAGCACUUGCAGCACAAAUCUACUGCUUUGAUGCUGUAACUCUUGAGAACAAGUUCAGCGUCUUGUCAUAUCCUUUACAAGGGGCACCUGGGGCAAAUAUUGGGUAUGGUCCAAUGUCUGUUGGCUCAAGAUGGUUGGCUUAUGCUCCCAAUGGUCCUGUGUUAUCCAGCACUGGUCGUCUGAGCCCACAAAAUCUCACACCUUCUCCAGGAGUGAGCCCAUCUACUUCUCCUAGCAAUGGAACCUUAGUUGCUAGAUAUGCAAUGGAGUCCAGUAAGCAAAUAGCUGCUGGUAUAAUCAAUCUUGGUGAUAUGGGGUACAAAACACUGUCGAAGUACUGCCAAGAACUUCUGCCUGAUGGUUCUAAUUCUCCUCUGUCAUCAAGUCCAGGAAGGAGAUCUGGCAAACUUCCCUCCACUGUGCAUCCACUGGAAGCUGACAAUGCAGGAACGGUUAUCAUCAAGGAUGUUACCUCCAAAAUUGUUAUAGCACAGUUUAGGGCUCACACCAGUCCUAUAUCUGCUCUUUGCUUCGAUCCUAGUGGGACCCUUUUGGUCACAGCCUCUGUUCAUGGCCACAACAUAAAUGUUUUCCGGAUCAUGCCGACCUGCAUUGCUAAUGGCUCAGGUUCAAAACGAUAUGAUUGGGCAUCAUCUCAUGUUCACCUUUACAAACUGUAUCGUGGCAUGACAGCAGCGGUCAUACAGGACAUAUCUUUUAGUCAUUUUAGCCAGUGGGUAUCUAUUGUUUCAGCACGAGGCACUUGCCAUAUUUUUACAUUGUCUCCAUUUGGGGGCGAUUCGAGUUUGCAGCCACAGAAUUCUCACAGUGACGGGCCGCCUCUUGCCCCAUGUCAGUCAAGGCCAUGGUGGUCAAAGCCAUCAUUUCUUAUGGAUCAACAGCUUCAUCCUGUGCCAUCAACUGUGACAAAUUCUGUGGUCAGUAGGAUAAAAAACAAUAGUUCUAGUUGGCUAAAUACAGUCAGCAACGUGGCUGCUUCUGCAAGUGGAAAACUAUCCGUGCCAUCUGGUGCUAUAACUGCUAUUUUUUACAAUUCCAUUUACAAAGGUUCUCUGCCGGCUCCGUCGAAGGCUAAUGCUUUGGAGCAUUUAUUGGUGUAUUCACCAUCUGGUCAUGUUAUUCAACAUGAACUUCUGCCUUCUUCGGGUUCUGAAUCCUCUGAUAACAGCCCAACAGUUGGGCCUGGCAGUCAUUUGCAGCUCCAAGAUGAUGAGUUGCAUGUUACCGCUGAGCCAGUUCAAUGGUGGGAUGUUUGCCGCCGGACAAACUGGCCUGAAAGAGACCAGGACAUUGCAAAUGUUGUAUUCCACAACCAACUAAACAGUAUGAUGACACCAGACACUUCUGACUGUGAGGAUAGUGACCAUUCUGAUUUCACUUCAUCAAAUGAUGGUGUAUCCAGAAAAGAGGUUAUGAAAGUUAAAGAAAGAUCAAGCUGGUAUCUCUCAAAUGCAGAGGUUCAGAUAAGCUCAUGGCGGAUUCCCAUAUGGGAGAAGUCUAAGAUUUGCUUCUACGUGAUGGAUCAUCCUGCUACAGAGUCAGGGGAAGCUGUUGGCAUUCAUGGUGGGGAAAUUGAGAUCGAAAAGCUGGCUCUUCAUGAGGUUGAACUGAGGAGGGAACUGCUCCCUGUGUUUAAGCAGUUCCACUAUCCUGAGCAAAAUAGGAAUCAUGCAAGCCGCCAAAUUCAGAAUGCAUUAUCCGGCAUCGACAGCACACAGUAUAGCUCGGCAAAGGAUAGUGAUGCAUAUGGUCCCAAACCAGUGCCUCAUAUAUCUGGAUUUUACACUGAUAUGAGAAAAACAGAAAACAUGAAUGUUUUAGCUGGGCAGUUAUUUUCUGGACCUACUCCUGCUGUGGAUUUGCUGCCAAAGGAAAAAUGCAAUUCUAUUGGAUCUCCUGAAGCUAGAAAUUUGACUGUCAAUCACAAAGUAGAUAACGGGAGCAUUGGCUAUUUGUCUACACCAAUCGGAACAAAUGUAUCCACCAUCAUGCCUCAGUCUAGAGAGGGUGUGGAUUGUGUACCAUCGCACAUCAGACCAUUGAGCAACUAUUCCCUCUUGGAUGGACCUCUUGAUAAUGGAUCACCUUCCCCUGCAAGUAACGGAUCAUGUGGGCCUGAAAUAACCAAUAAUUCGUCAGUCAGCAAUGGUGCCAUUACUGAUAUCCCAAAUGGGGGUCACACGAGCGUCAAUUCCGGACAGAAUGAAAUGCCCGGUUCUCAGAACUCUGGAGAGUUUACCCAGUAUUUCCAAGAGGGCUAUUGUAAAAUAUCAGAACUCGAUGACUGCCGUGAGUUAACUGAAGCUGUUACUGAUGCUGACAGCAGCAGCAGCCACUGCGAGAGAGAGAAGCCCGAGGAAGAUGGGGACAACGAUGACAUGCUUGGAGGGGUUUUCGCCUUCAGUGAAGAAGGUUGA
rnacentral:rRNA from 1 species